CAGACGUUAGUCGUGGGAUACUGCAUCGAAGGUGGCCUGACAGCUCUGUCCCGCGCCGUGGGCAACAGAGGAGAUUGCGACCCCGAGCGAGCGAGCAUCCCCGCGCCAUGGAGCAGGCCGUCGCUGGCGGCUGCGGAUGACAAACAGACGAUUCGUGCGAGUGCACUGUCAUCCAAAGUUUGUCCAGAGGAGAACUUGCAGUAUAGCUGGCUGCUGGCUACUGCGGCUUGGGGUUGGCAGUUCAGUAGUCAGUGUUGUUUGGACAGAUUAUAUUUCACCCAUUCGUUCACAGGAUGAUCAAAAUAGGGCCAAUGCUUUGAAAAUAGAAUGUUACAGGCCGGCUUCGGCCUACGUAUGUAUACUAGAAUAGCAUCAUAGCUGAUUCCUGACGUUUAAGUUGUCCAGAUUCGCCUGUGUGUCAGAUACUGCUUUGAAGUUUCAUCCCGGUGUAUCUGCGUUCUGAUAUAUUGCACUACUUAAUUAAGUGAUCGUUUGAGUAUCAGCUUCUCAAGGAUGGGAUCAGGAGAUGACGCCUUUUCCACAUCACAGCUACCCGUAGUUAUGUUGUGUCAGAGUAAACUUAGUAGCUUCAGCUUAAUUUUCUACAGAAGAAUGCAGAGCUUAACUUUAGAACAUGACACACAAACUUGGAUAAGGUAGAUACAAAGUUUUGUAUACCAACUAGUGUUAUUACUAGGCAUCAAACAAGUGCCACUUAUAACUACACAACAUAUGUAAAUGAGUCAGGCAGUAUUAGCUUUCUACAAAACUAGUUCAGUGCUCGAUGACAGAAAGUAGUCUACGUAGUUGGGCAUACCAAACAAUAAGUUUUUACCAAGGACAACUCCAAUUUUCUACCCCACUUUGACUGGCCACUUUGUGCUAUUUGUUAGAGACACAAUUAUUAUCCAUGUUGUAAUAUUGUUGUUAGUACUUGAAAACUGUUUUGUAUCAUGCGUGUUGUAAUUCCCACCUUAUUAUGAUUAUUAUGUGUGAAAUAUAUAAUAUAUAACAAUUCUAAUGUAUUUUCCAAACUCAAGUUUAUAUUGUUCAAACUCAACAAAACAUCUAAUUCCAAAGUUUUUACAUCCAAACAUGAAUUGGAAUUGGGUGCCACCCUAUAAUUCUAACAACACACAACAGAAAUGGAGUUUGGGGCCAUUUCCUUUCCAUCUUGAUUUUGGUAUUCCAUUCCAACUCAAUUUCAAUGCCCAAUUCUGUGCAUCCAAACACAGCAUGACAGUUUUUUACCUGUUGGACUAUUGUGAUCUAUAUAGCAAUAUUAUUUAUAUUCUGCUAGUUUAACAAAUAAUCUUGCAUUCUUGAAUUGUGAAAUAAUGUAUAAUAAUGAACCUAAAUUUCUAGAGUUAGGUUGAAAUAUUGUUUACAACUGUGUGUUCAUCCAUGUUUUAGGAUAACUGUGCCAACCCUUGUUAGUUGAUGUAAUAUGGUUUUAUUUCCAGUGGUUUCACCCUGUGCGAUUUUGCCAAUGGAGAAAUCUCCUGAUAUUCAUAUGCACACUAAAAGUUCAGUGUGAAAAUUUAACGGAGGUCAGCAGGUUCAUUAUUUUCAGUUGCGAAGCUAAGGGCGGAGUAUUUAAGAUGACGUAAUUAAAAGGGAAACCCUCAGAACAUGUUAGUAUUGACAAUUUGGUUUACCUUUCAUCACAAAAGACAAUGCCGCAUUAUGUACAACAUCAUUUGUGCCAUUCCCCAAAUUUCUUGAUGAGAACGUAUUUCUAAUGGAUUUAGCUAAUUCGGCAGUUAUUGGGGUGAUAUUGUGGAUCAAAUUGCUCAAUGUUAAAAGUAAGCUAGGAUCCAUGACAUUUUGAAGUUCAUAGCUGUAGGCAAUAACUUUACUACUCUCUUGAACAUACCUACAUUUCUUUGAAUUUGUAUAUAUUUAUGAUGGGAAAAAAAUAGCAUAGCUUUCGAAAGAGAUACAUACUCAGAACUUUAACAGAUAUAUUGCAACACUGCUCCAAGCUUAAUGUAACAUUGUUGACGUGAAGUAAAAACAUGCAUGCAUACAUACAUGUUAUAGUUUACACAAAUGACAUUUGUCAAUUGAUAAGAAUUAACAAGGCGUGUCGGUUCGGAUGAACUAUGCUUGGGCUGUGUAGAAUGCAGACUUUCCCUUAAUAAGAUCCACCUUUGUCUGCAAUAUUAGGAUUCCUACCUCACAUUAUGAUGAGUUUUAAAAAUUUAGCCUAUCCAACGUCAUCAAAGCAUUCAUUUUGAUGUCCUUUGCAAAUAUUGAAUCAUGCUUAUCUAAUAGCCUUAAAGCAGUUUCUAUUUGGUUUAGGUUAAAAGUAUGGAAAUCUCCUUCAACAUACUCAACAAUUUCUCUUGUUACGCGCGCUUUCAUGU